rnacentral:lncRNA from 1 species
ACUGAUAUCCUGUUGCGUUUUCCCCUGUUUAAGAUGAUAUGAUGGAGGAUACUCCCCUGUCCAUGUGCAGCUUCUGAUGGAGACAGAGAUGACACAGUCUGACCUGAUGGAACAGCCAAACGGACCCCCCCAGACCCUCUGUCUCUGACCAGAACAGCGCAGACUGGCUUUAGUCGAACAUUCAUCUGCGUGACCUACAAAUACAGCGAACUCGAAUAUUGCUAUUCAGCUCCAGUACAUUCAUGUAUACUCAUGCAGUAUGACUUCAACAUCCCCAACUCAUUUUACCCCAAGCUCUAGUGUGUGGCCCAUCGAGGUUGCUAUCCCAAGAAAGGGCACAGGUACCGACAGCUGAAUAUGACAUCAUUGGCUAGAAACAAAUUUGUUUCUAGCCAAUGAAGUACAUCAAAUUUGAU